rnacentral:rRNA from 1 species
GACGAACGCUGGCGGCGUGCUUAACACAUGCAAGUCGAACGGAAAGGCCCUGCUUUUGUGGGGUGCUCGAGUGGCGAACGGGUGAGUAACACGUGAGUAACCUGCCCUUGACUUUGGGAUAACUUCAGGAAACUGGGGCUAAUACCGGAUAGGAGCUCCUGCUGCAUGGUGGGGGUUGGAAAGUUUCGGCGGUUGGGGAUGGACUCGCGGCUUAUCAGCUUGUUGGUGGGGUAGUGGCUUACCAAGGCUUUGACGGGUAGCCGGCCUGAGAGGGUGACCGGCCACAUUGGGACAGAGAUACGGCCCAGACUCCUACGGGAGGCAGCAGUGGGGAAUAUUGCACAAUGGGCGGAAGCCUGAUGCAGCAACGCCGCGUGCGGGAUGACGGCCUUCGGGUUGUAAACCGCUUUCGCCUGUGACGAAGCGUGAGUGACGGUAAUGGGUAAAGAAGCACCGGCUAACUACGUGCCAGCAGCCGCGGUGAUACGUAGGGUGCGAGCGUUGUCCGGAUUUAUUGGGCGUAAAGGGCUCGUAGGUGGUUGAUCGCGUCGGAAGUGUAAUCUUGGGGCUUAACCCUGAGCGUGCUUUCGAUACGGGUUGACUUGAGGAAGGUAGGGGAGAAUGGAAUUCCUGGUGGAGCGGUGGAAUGCGCAGAUAUCAGGAGGAACACCAGUGGCGAAGGCGGUUCUCUGGGCCUUUCCUGACGCUGAGGAGCGAAAGCGUGGGGAGCGAACAGGCUUAGAUACCCUGGUAGUCCACGCUGUAAACGGUGGGUACUAGGUGUGGGGUCCAUUCCACGGGUUCCGUGCCGUAGCUAACGCUUUAAGUACCCCGCCUGGGGAGUACGGCCGCAAGGCUAAAACUCAAAGGAAUUGACGGGGCCCCGCACAAGCGGCGGAGCAUGCGGAUUAAUUCGAUGCAACGCGUAGAACCUUACCUGGGUUUGACAUGGAUCGGGAGUGCUCAGAGAUGGGUGUGCCUCUUUUGGGGUCGGUUCACAGGUGGUGCAUGGCUGUCGUCAGCUCGUGUCGUGAGAUGUUGGGUUAAGUCCCGCAACGAGCGCAACCCUUGUUCACUGUUGCCAGCACGUUAUGGUGGGGACUCAGUGGAGACCGCCGGGGUCAACUCGGAGGAAGGUGGGGAUGACGUCAAGUCAUCAUGCCCCUUAUGUCCAGGGCUUCACGCAUGCUACAAUGGCUGGUACAGAGAGUGGCGAGCCUGUGAGGGUGAGCGAAUCUCGGAAAGUCGGUCUCAGUUCGGAUUGGGGUCUGCAACUCGACCUCAUGAAGUCGGAGUCGCUAGUAAUCGCAGAUCAGCAACGCUGCGGUGAAUACGUUCCCGGGGCU